rnacentral:rRNA from 1 species
UACGAAGGGAGCUAGCGUUGUUCGGAAUCACUGGGCGUAAAGCGCACGUAGGCGGAUGUGUCAGUCAGGGGUGAAAUCCCGGAGCUCAACUUCGGAACUGCCUUUGAUACAGAACGUCUUGAGUCCGGAAGAGGUGGGUGGAAUUCCUAGUGUAGAGGUGAAAUUCGUAGAUAUUAGGAAGAACACCGGUGGCGAAGGCGGCCCACUGGUCCGGUACUGACGCUGAGGUGCGAAAGCGUGGGGAGCAAACAGG